AUGAUGGACUAUAGGACAGGACUGCUGCUUCUAACUAUCUGCUGGACAGGUGUUGAUGGUCAGACUCUGACACAAUCUGAACCAGCAGUUAAAAAGCCUGGAGAAUCCCACAAACUGACCUGUACAACCUCUGGAUUCACAUUCAGCAGCUACUGGAUGGCCUGGAUCAGACAGGCUCCUGGAAAAGGACUGGAGUGGAUUGCUUAUAUCAAUACUGGUGGUGGUAGCACAUACUACUCUCAGUCAGUUCAAGGCCGGUUCACCAUCUCCAGAGACAACAGCAGAGAGCAGCUGUAUCUGCAGAUGAACAGUCUGAAGACUGAAGAUUCUGCUGUUUAUUAUUGUGCUAGAGUGGCAAAUGAUGAAUUUAACUUUUCAGUAUUAGACAAAAAUCUGUUCAUCUAUAUUAAUACCUGA